rnacentral:rRNA from 1 species
UUGAACGCUGGCGGCAUGCUUUACACAUGCAAGUAGAACGGCAGCGCGGGGGCAACCCUGGCGGCGAGUGGCGAACGGGUGAGUAACAUAUCGGAACAUGUCCGGAAGUGGGGGAUAACGCACCGAAAGGUGCGCUAAUACCGCAUAUGCCCCGAGGGGGAAAGGGGGGGAUCGCAAGACCUCUCGCUUUCGGAGUGGCCGAUAUCGGAUUAGCUAGUAGGCGGGGUAAAGGCCCACCUAGGCGACGAUCCGUAGCUGGUCUGAGAGGACGACCAGCCACACUGGAACUGAGACACGGUCCAGACUCCUACGGGAGGCAGCAGUGGGGAAUUUUGGACAAUGGGGGCAACCCUGAUCCAGCCAUGCCGCGUGAGUGAAGAAGGCCUUCGGGUUGUAAAGCUCUUUCAGACGGAAAGAAACGGUCGCGGUUAAUAACCGUGGCUAAUGACGGUACCGUAAGAAGAAGCACCGGCUAACUACGU